AACAACUGAGCUUUGGUGAAGGUGAGAGUUAAAGAUUGAGAAGUAUUGAAGACUGACCAGGAGAACAUUGUACCAUUCAGGCUGAACAGUAACUAUGGCACGACGGAAUGUUUCAGCAGAAAGUAUCCUGAGGCAGAAGUGAAGGGGGGAAAGUUAUAAAACUAUAAAGCAGUAAUCUUUAAGACAGUGAGUGGGGUCAGAAGCUCAGCAAAUAGGACUCUGAGGUUGCAAAAGAGAUACAAUGAGCAGCAUUUUCCCAACCAGAUUGGAGCAGGUUCCUGUGUGCACAACAGAUGCUGCCAGACCUGCUGAGCUUCUCCCGCAAUUUG